UACAGAGGGUGCGAACGUUGCUCGGAAUUACUGGGCGUAAAGCGCGUGUAGGCGGAACAGCAAGUCAGAUGUGAAAUCCCCGGGCUCAACCCGGGAACUGCACCUGAAACUGCCGAUCUUGAGUACCGGAGAGGGUGGCGGAAUUCCUGGUGUAGAGGUGAAAUUCGUAGAUAUCAGGAGGAACACCGGUGGCGAAGGCGGCCACCUGGACGGUUACUGACGCUGAGACGCGAAAGCGUGGGGAGCGAUCCGG
rnacentral:rRNA from 1 species